GGGGAGACAUUCCGGUGCAGCCUCCUGCUGACGUGUCUCAGCACAUAAUCACAAAGAGCCAAUCACGCAUGAGUCAGAAGCAGUUAUAUCCCUAAGUCAUAAAGCAGCAGCUGGGCCCAAGAUUCCUGGCAUCCUUCCAAUCUCACCUCCCCCGCCCUAUUUACCCAGGAGCAAAAGAAGCGGAGGGAAGCAACACAGUGCAGCGUGACUACGUGCUUGAUCUGUUUCCUCCUAAUGGGCAUGCAGGUUGGUUCCAGUUUCCAGCGAUCCUAAACACACUUGGCUGGACCUCCCUGUGCCUACAGAGAACCCCAGCUUUUAAGUUGGUCUCCGCAGAGGACAACUACAUUCUUCAGCCUCCUGUACAGCAGAGAGUGCCACGUGACUAAGAUCAAGUUCUAACCAGUGGAAUCAAAGCAGGGAAGUGUUGCCUUCUUUGCCCCUUCCUGCUGGCUGGAAUAUGACAAAACGGCUGCAGCAUGAGCAACCUUCUUGGGCCCUGAGGUGGAAGCCACCUGUUGGUUGACUGACCAGAUGGUGGAGUGACCAGAUAGAAGGGGCCUGGUGAUUGUGGAUUCUGCCACACUACCUCUGGUCCCCUAUACCUACGUGAAAGGAAAAGAAAUGUCUGCCAUGUUUGUGUGUGUGUGUCUGUGUAGUGUGUGUAUGUGUGUGUGUGUCUGCCAUGUUUAAGCCACUAUAACUUUGGGAUAUCUGUGGCUUACAGUCAAAUCUAAUCCAAACAAAUGCACCUCUAUGUCCCCCUCACAGAUAAGAAGACUGAUGCAAGGGAACCGCAGUUGUGGCCAUAACACAAAGAUAGCUUCAACCACCACCAACAUGGAUUGAGCUCGGCUCCGCCCUUCCUGGCCUCCGGCCUUUUAUUCCCCGCUAAUUCCUCUGGAUUCCUAAUGAUUCCCAUUCCCUGCAUGCACACCAGGUCUUGGAUCCAAUGUCACCUUCUUAAACAGAACUUCCCUAACCUUCACCCCCACCUCCCAAGAAAGCAGGGAUUCUGUCACGUUCCCUGCUGUUUCCCUGGGACAGGUUGGUGCUUAAUAAACGUGUUCAGUGAAUGAAUGAAGGAAUGAGUUAUCUCAGGCAGUCUGUCCAUCAACCAUCUGGUGCUGGCCACUGUGAGGGUCUCUGGACACCAGCAGUAACCAGCCACCCUACCCUGUUUGGAGGCUGUGGGAUACGAGCAGAGAGCUUUAGUUUAGAAGGUGUUUACCUGAAA